rnacentral:rRNA from 1 species
UGGGGAAUAUUGCGCAAUGGGGGGAACCCUGACGCAGCCAUGCCGCGUGAAUGAAGAAGGCCUUCGGGUUGUAAAGUUCUUUCGGUAUUGAGGAAGGUUGAUGUGUUAAUAGCACAUCAAAUUGACGUUAAAUACAGAAGAAGCACCGGCUAACUCCGUGCCAGCAGCCGCGGUAAUACGGAGGGUGCGAGCGUUAAUCGGAAUAACUGGGCGUAAAGGGCACGCAGGCGGUUAUUUAAGUGAGGUGUGAAAGCCCCGGGCUUAACCUGGGAAUUGCAUUUCAGACUGGGUAACUAGAGUACUUUAGGGAGGGGUAGAAUUCCACGUGUAGCGGUGAAAUGCGUAGAGAUGUGGAGGAAUACCGAAGGCGAAGGCAGCCCCUUAGGAAUGUACUGACGCUCAUGUGCGAAAGCGUGGGGAGCAAACAGGAUUAGAUACCCUGGUAGUCCACGCUGUAAACGCUGUCGAUUUGGGGGUUGGGGUUUAACUCUGGCGCCCGUAGCUAACGUGAUAAAUCGACCGCCUGGGGAGUACGGCCGCAAGGUUA